CCUACGGGUGGCAGCAGUGAGGAAUAUUGGUCAAUGGGCGCGAGCCUGAACCAGCCAAGUCGCGUGAGGGAAGACGGUCCUAUGGAUUGUAAACCUCUUUUGUCGGGGAGCAAAAGACGCCACGCGUGGCGUUCCGAGAGUACCCGAAGAAAAAGCAUCGGCUAACUCCGUGCCAGCAGCCGCGGUAAUACGGAGGAUGCGAGCGUUAUCCGGAUUUAUUGGGUUUAAAGGGUGCGCAGGCGGAAGAUCAAGUCAGCGGUAAAAUUGAGAGGCUCAACCUCGUCGAGCCGUUGAAACUGGGGAUCUAGAGUGUGCGAGAGGUAUGCGGAAUGCGUGGUGUAGCGGUGAAAUGCAUAGAUAUCACGCAGAACCCCGAUUGCGAAGGCAGCAUACCGGUGCACAACUGACGCUGAGGCACGAAAGCGUGGGUAUCGAACAGGAUUAGAUACCCCUGUAGUC
rnacentral:rRNA from 1 species